GAGUUUGAUCCCGGCUCAGGACGAAACGCCGGCGGCGUGCUUAACACACGCAAGUCGAACGAAGAAGCGGCGCUUGCACCGUGGAUUAGUCGGCGAACGGGUCGAGUAAUACGUGAGUCGACCUACCUUCGACUCUGGGAUAAGCCUGGGAAACUGGGUCUAAUACCGGAUACGACCAAUCUCUGCAUGGGGUGUUGGUGGAAAGCGUUAUGGAGUGGUUUUAGAUGGGCUCACGGCCUAUCAGCUUGUUGGUGAGGUAAUGGCUUACCAAGGCGACGACGGGUAGCCGGCCUGAGAGGGUGACCGGCCACACUGGGACUGAGACACGGCCCAGACUCCUACGGGAGGCAGCAGUGGGGAAUAUUGCACAAUGGGCGCAAGCCUGAUGCAGCGACGCCGCGUGAGGGAUGACGGCCUUCGGGUUGUAAACCUCUAUUAGCAUCGAAGAAGCGAAAGUGACGGUAGGUGCAGAGAAAGCGCCGGCUAACUACGUGCCAGCAGCCGCGGUAAUACGUAGGGCGCGAGCGUUGUCCGGAAUUAUUGGGCGUAAAGAGCUUGUAGGCGGUUGGUCGCGUCUGCUGUGAAAGGCCGGGGCUUAACUCCGGUUUUGCAGUGGGUACAGGCUAACUAGAGUGCAGUAGGGGAGACUGGAAUUCCUGGUGUAGCGGUGGAAUGCACAGAUAUCAGGAGGAACACCGAUGGCGAAGGCAGGUCUCUGGGCUGUAACUGACGCUGAGAAGCGAAAGCAUGGGGAGCGAACAGGAUUAGAUACCCUGGUAGUCCAUGCCGUAAACGUUGGGCACUAGGUGUGGGGGACAUUCCACGUUUUCCGCGCCGUAGCUAACGCAUUAAGUGCCCCGCCUGGGGAGUACGGCCGCAAGGCUAAAACUCAAAGGAAUUGACGGGGGCCCGCACAAGCGGCGGAGCAUGCGGAUUAAUUCGAUGCAACGCGAAGAACCUUACCAAGGCUUGACAUGCAUUAGAUCGCGUCAGAGAUGGCGUUUCCCUUCGGGGCUGGUGUACAGGUGGUGCAUGGUUGUCGUCAACUCGUGUCGUGAGAUGUUGGGUUAAGUCCCGCAACGAGCGCAACCCUCGUUCUAUGUUGCCAGCGGUUCGGCCGGGGACUCAUAGGAGACUGCCGGGGUCAACUCGGAGGAGGGUGGGGAUGACGUCAAAUCAUCAUGCCCCUUAUGUCUUGGGCUUCACGCAUGCUACGAUGGCCGGUACAGAGGGUUGCGAUACUGUGAGGUGGAGCUAAUCCCUUAAAGCCGGUCUCGGUUUCGGAUUGGGGUUCUGCGAACUCGGACCCCGUGAAAGUUCGGAGUCGCGAGUGAAUCGCGGGUUCGGGCGAACGCUGCGGUGAAGUCGUUUCCCGGGCCUU
rnacentral:rRNA from 1 species